ensembl:lncRNA
GUAUAUAGAGCAGACCUGCAGUAUUAGUUUCUCUACAAAACAGGGUAGCUUGUACUUGAAGUGUUGCCACCAUGAGACUUAACUGCUGCCUGACGAUCCUUCACGUGUCCAUCUUAGCGGCGCUCCUUGUCCAUUUGGAAGCUUAUAGUGAAGAUUGUGAAGUUGAAAUCAGAGUGCGCCGCAACACAGUGUAUAAAGCUUCUGUUGGGGAAGAACUGAGGAUUAACUGCACAGUUGUUUUCUGCAACAACUCACCACCAACAGUCUCCUGGUUUAAACCAGGGGAAACUUAUGUCAAUGUUGGCAGUAGCAGCCUCAUCAAAACAGAGUGGAAAAAACUAGACGAUUCACGAGGGAUAUCGUAUUUGGUCUUUAAAAAGAUUCAUAUGAGCGACUCAGGUGAGUAUCAGUGUCGGAGUGGAGGCAGCAUGAGCCACAACAUCAACGUCUCUGUCUCUGGUGAAGUUUGUGAAGAUGAAAUCAGAGUGCGCCGCAACACAGUGUAUAAAGCGUCUGUUGGGGAAGAACUGAGGAUUAACUGCACAGUUGUUUUCUGCAACAACUCACCGCCAACAGUCUCCUGGUUUAAACGAGGGGAAACUGAUGUCCCUGUCAAUGUCAGCAGUGGCAGCCUCAUCGAAACAGAGUGGAAAAAACUAAACGAUUCACAAGGGAUAUCAUAUUUGGUCUUUAAAAAGAUUCUUAAGAGCGACUCAGGUGAGUAUCAGUGUCGGGGUGGAGGCAGCGCGAGCCACAACAUCAACGUCUUUGUCUCUGACCCUGGACCUGCUUUCCCCCACUAUGCGUUACGCAUUGUUGGAAUCGUGGUGUUAGUCAUCGUGGUGAUGAUCAUCUAUGUAGCAUCGAGAGCCGGGUGUAAAGCUCAUCGCCAGAUCAACAGAUCUUCCACGAUGAAUCCAGGAAAUGACGUCUUUCAGGCCGGGGUGAAACCAGAUUCACGCUCAUGAAAAACUGAGCCAAAAAACCUCAAACGACACCCUUGAUGAUGAGAUGGGAUUCUAAAGGUCAUUAGGUAUUUCUUUUCCUCAACAUGAACCACAUCAAAAAAACAACAACUAGUAGACGAAUGUCGAUUAAAAAGUCAGAGCAUAAGAGGAUUUACUUGUAGAGAGUUAAAUCAAAGUAGACUGCAGCUGUUUAAAUGCCCCAAAACACAAUUCUAAACUGGUCUGAUCUGAUCUGAGUGGUGAUGAGGGAGAAGUCGGACGCCCUGCAGGGGCUUCGUGAACCACGUGGCCCGUGGGAUGUGCUACCACUGUGGUUUUGAAAGUGCUAAAAGUUGAAGCACUUCUUGCACAAUCUGGCGGAGUGCAAACAUAACUGUACCCCACCCAACGUACUGCAGUCGCCCACCAUCCACCAUGUGACACGUGCAGGUAGAGGCUUGUUGCCCCCCUCAGUGUUGUCAACAAGGAAGUGUGAAAGCUUUGCGCGUUGGAGCUAUUCUCUCUUGAUAUAAGAUAUAAGAUGUCAAUAUCCUUCACAGUUGGGCUUGUUUAUUCAUUAUGUUAUUAUGGUGCAGUAAUUGUGCGCAAGAAGUGUGAAUUAACGCUGCAUAAGUCAAAGAAAAACUUGGGAACUCACUUUUUCCACAAGUGAAAUAAGGUCUCCAUCUAGUGGUGUAAAAGCAAAACUCUGGGUUCAAACCUGACGUCUCAUUAACUUGGUGAUAUGAGGUUGGAGAUAAAUCUACAAAGCCCUUAAAAAUCAUUAAAAAGGAAUGUGAGUGAUUGCUGAAAUUAUUAUUUCCUAUCAGUGCGACUCCAUAAACAUUAAAAGCCAACAAGAGACCAAAACAAAAAGCGUUUUUGGUCGUGAAGUCCACUCGAGGUUGGCGCACAGUUUCCUCCCGAUAAGCCUUGAUGAUUUCUUAAUCAUUGUAAUAAUAAGCAAAAUAAAUCUGCC